CUGCAGCUCAAGUGGUGAUCAUUAUUAUUGGGCCUAAAACGUCCGUAGCCGGUUUAGUAAAUGCCUGGGUAAAUCGUGUAGCUUAACUAUACGACUUCCGGGUAGACUGCUAAACUUGAGACCGGGAGAGGCUAGAGGUACUCCUGGGGUAGAGGUGAAAUUCUGUAAUCCUAGGGGGACCACCAGUGGCGAAGGCGUCUAGCUAGAACGGGUCUGACGGUGAGGAACGAAGCCCUGGGGCGCAAACCGGAUUAGAUACCCGAGUAGUCC
rnacentral:rRNA from 1 species